AUUUUUACACUUAAGUUACUUUAUUUGAUUAAAAUAUAAAUAUUCUUUGGUUUAGAAUUAACAAAUAUGGCUUUAAAUAAACCAUUAAAUGAAUUUAAAAAAAAAAUAUAAACUAAAAAUAUCACAGUCAACUACAUCAGUCUACAUAACCUCUUUGUGCAACGUUUUUGUUAAUUAAGUAAAUCUCCAACAACGAUAUUAUACGGAUGGGGUGGAGAAAAUAUGAUAAAUAAAACAAUACCUUAAUUAUCCAGGCAAAACCACCGCAGGAUAACCGAUACACGACCAAAAGCAAACAACACCAGCCGUUGAUGAAAUGUCCAGAGUACAUUAUUGACUGCAAGAUUUCCAGUUUCUCCACGAUAGUAUAAUUAUCGAUGAAAUAUUAAAACGUGCUCGCGUUGCGGGCACGAACGUGUAAAUUAUUAUUUUUUUAAUAAAUUUUAUAUUUGAUGUGUA